AUGAUUCCGUGGGGUCUUCUCCUCUGCCUGGUGACAGUCCCUCAGGGUGCUGUGAAUGCUCUGACCCUGCAAGAGUCGGGUCCAGGACUGGUUGCCCCCUCCCAGACCCUAUCCCUCACCUGCGCUGUCUCCGGAUUCUCCAUCACAACCAGCAAUUACUGCUGGAACUGGAUCCGCCAGCCCCCAGGGAAAGGCUUACUCUGGUUGGGGCAAAUAUGUGCUAGCGGAAACACCUACUACAGCCCGUCCUUCAAGAGCCGUGUCUCCAUCGCCAGAGACACGAACAAAAACCAGUUCUCCCUGCAGCUGAGCUCAGUGACCCCCGAGGACACAGCCGUGUAUUACUGUGCUAGAGACACAGUG